rnacentral:rRNA from 1 species
GACGAACGCUGGCGGCGUGCUUAACACAUGCAAGUCGAACGGAAAGGCCCUGCUUUUGUGGGGUGCUCGAGUGGCGAACGGGUGAGUAACACGUGAGUAACCUGCCCUUGACUUUGGGAUAACUUCAGGAAACUGGGGCUAAUACCGGAUAGGAGCUCCUGCUGCAUGGUGGGGGUUGGAAAGUUUCGGCGGUUGGGGAUGGACUCGCGGCUUAUCCGCUUGUUGGUGGGGUAGUGGCUUACCAAGGCUUUGACGGGUAGCCGGCCUGAGAGGGUGACCGGCCACAUUGGGACUGAGAUACGGCCCAGACUCCUACGGGAGGCAGCAGUGGGGAAUAUUGCACAAUGGGCGGAAGCCUGAUGCAGAAACGCCGCGUGCGGGAUGACGGCCUUCGGGUUGUAAACCGCUUUCGCCUGUGACGAAGCGUGAGUGACGGUAAUGGGUAAAGAAGCACCGGCUAACUACGUG